UGAGUAACCUGCCCUGGACUUUGGGAUAACCCUCGGAAACGGGGGCUAAUACCGGAUAUGACGCACUCUCGCAUGGGAUGUGUGUGGAAAGUUUUUCGGUCUGGGAUGGGCUCGCGGCCUAUCAGCUUGUUGGUGGGGUGAUGGCCUACCAAGGCGACGACGGGUAGCCGGCCUGAGAGGGCGAUCGGCCACACUGGGACUGAGACACGGCCCAGACUCCUACGGGAGGCA
rnacentral:rRNA from 1 species